CCGCGGUAUUUUAACCGUGCAAAGGUAGCAUAAUCAUUAGUUUUUUAAUUGAAGGCUUGUAUGAAUGAUUGGACGAGAUAUAAGCUGUUUCAUAUAAAAUUGAAUAGAAUUUUAUUUUUUAGUUAAAAAGCUAAAAUAAGUUUAAAAGACGAGAAGACCCUAUAGAUCUUAAUAAUUUAUAUAUUUUAUUUAUAUAGAAAAUUUUAAAUAUUAUAAUUAUAAUUAUUUUGUUGGGGUGACAAUAAAAUUUAGUAAACUUUUAUAUUUAAUUUACAUGAAUUAAUGAAUAAUUGAUCCAUUUUUAAUGAUUAAUAAAUUAAGUUACCUUAGGGAUAACAGCGUAAUUUUUUUAGAGAGUUCAUAUCGAUAAAAAAGUUUGCGACCUCGAUGUUGGAUUAAG
rnacentral:rRNA from 1 species